UCUCACACGACAGCCAUGCCUGGUCUUGUCUCUGUUAAAACCCCACCAGAUGCACCACCACUUAACAUUUCUCUCCCUGAGAUCCGACCCGAAUCUUCAACCCGAUCCGAACAACAACCCAGAACCCCAACUCCCAAAAAACCCCCAUCUCCUUCCCCAUCUCGAUCCAAACCUUCCCCUGCCCGCUCCGCCAAAAAACCACCACCAGAUUCUCCUAACUCGAAUACCCUCCUCUCGGAUCCUUCCUUGGACAACCCCGAUCUUGGCCCGUUUCUCUUAAAGCUCGCCCGUGACACCAUUGCAUCCGGUGAAG
rnacentral:lncRNA from 1 species